rnacentral:rRNA from 1 species
CCAGACUCCUACGGGAGGCAGCAGUGGGGAAUAUUGCGCAAUGGGGGCAACCCUGACGCAGCCAUGCCGCGUGAAUGAAGAAGGCCUUCGGGUUGUAAAGUUCUUUCGGUAGUGAGGAAGGCAUUUAGUUUAAUAGACUAGGUGAUUGACGUUAACUACAGAAGAAGCACCGGCUAACUCCGUGCCAGCAGCCGCGGUAAUACGGAGGGUGCGAGCGUUAAUCGGAAUAACUGGGCGUAAAGGGCACGCAGGCGGUGACUUAAGUGAGGUGUGAAAGCCCCGGGCUUAACCUGGGAAUUGCAUUUCAUACUGGGUCGCUAGAGUACUUUAGGGAGGGGUAGAAUUCCACGUGUAGCGGUGAAAUGCGUAGAGAUGUGGAGGAAUACCGAAGGCGAAGGCAGCCCCUUGGGAAUGUACUGACGCUCAUGUGCGAAAGCGUGGGGAGCAAACAGGAUUAGAUACCCUGGUAGUCCACGCUGUAAACGAUGUCGAUUUGGGGGUUGAGCUUUAAGUUUGGCGCCCGUAGCUAACGUGAUAAAUCGACCGCCUGGGGAGUACGGCCGCAAGGUUAAAACUCAAAUGAAUUGACGGGGGCCCGCACAAG